rnacentral:rRNA from 1 species
UAGGGAAUCUUCGGCAAUGGACGAAAGUCUGACCGAGCAACGCCGCGUGAGUGAAGAAGGUUUUCGGAUCGUAAAACUCUGUUGUUAGAGAAGAACAAGGACGUUAGUAACUGAACGUCCCCUGACGGUAUCUAACCAGAAAGCCACGGCUAACUACGUGCCAGCAGCCGCGGUAAAACGUAGGUGGCAAGCGUUGUCCGGAUUUAUUGGGCGUAAAGCGAGCGCAGGCGGUUUCUUAAGUCUGAUGUGAAAGCCCCCGGCUCAACCGGGGAGGGUCAUUGGAAACGGGGAGACUUGAGUGCAGAAGAGGAGAGUGGAAUUCCAUGUGUAGCGGUGAAAUGCGUAGAUAUAUGGAGGAACACCAGUGGCGAAGGCGGCUCUCUGGUCUGUAACUGACGCUGAGGCUCGAAAGCGUGGGGAGCAAACAGG